UACAGAGGGUGCGAGCGUUGUCCGGAAUCGCUGGGCGUAAAGGGCGCGUAGGUGGCGACCCAAGUCGAUGGUGAAAGCUCGCCGCUCAACGGCGAGUCGGCCACCGAUACUGGGUUGCUGGAGCACUGUAGAGGCUCAUGGAAUUCCGGGUGUAGCGGUGGAAUGCGUAGAGAUCCGGAAGAACACCGGUGGCGAAGGCGGUGAGCUGGGCAGUUGCUGACACUGAGGCGCGACAGCGUGGGGAGCAAACAGG
rnacentral:rRNA from 1 species